UUGACCUCGGAUCAGUA
rnacentral:rRNA from 1 species